UACGUAGGGGGCAAGCGUUAUCCGGAUUUACUGGGUGUAAAGGGAGCGUAGACGGCAGGGCAAGUCUGGAGUGAAAGCCCGGGGCCCAACCCCGGGACUGCUUUGGAAACUGCCAUGCUAGAGUGCUGGAGAGGUAAGCGGAAUUCCUAGUGUAGCGGUGAAAUGCGUAGAUAUAACUUAGAACACCGAUAGCGAAGGCAGCUUACCAGACUGAGUCUGACGCUGAUGCACGAGAGCAUGGGUAGCGAACAGG
rnacentral:rRNA from 1 species